rnacentral:rRNA from 1 species
CCUACGGGGGGCAGCAGUGAGGAAUAUUGGUCAAUGGGCGUAAGCCUGAACCAGCCAAGUCGCGUGAGGGAUGAAGGUUCUAUGGAUCGUAAACCUCUUUUAUAAGGGAAUAAAGUGCGGGACGUGUCCCGUUUUGUAUGUACCUUAUGAAUAAGGAUCGGCUAAUUCCGUGCCAGCAGCCGCGGUAAUACGGAGGAUCCGAGCGUUAUCCGGAUUUAUUGGGUUUAAAGGGUGCGUAGGCGGCCUUUUAAGUCAGUGGUGAAAGUCUGUGGCUCAACCAUAGAAUUGCAGUUGAAACUGGGGGGCUUGAGUGUGUUUGAGGCAGGCGGAAUGCGUGGUGUAGCGGUGAAAUGCUUAGAUAUCACGAAGAACCCCGAUUGCGAAGGCAGCCUGC